rnacentral:rRNA from 1 species
GCUUCCGGCCAUUACCCCCCUGAGAACGCCCGAUCUCGUCCGAUCUCGGAAGCUAAGCAGGGUCGGGCCUUGGUUAGUACUUUGAUGGGAGACCGCCUGGGAAAUACCAGGUGCUGUAAGCU